AUCCAGCUGAUGAGUAUCAAACAAGACGAAACGCGAGUCCUGGAU
rfam:Schistosoma mattheei strain Denwood, Zambia genome assembly, scaffold: SMTD_scaffold0022330